UCUGAGUCUCGACAACCAGAAAAUAGACGGAAAAACGCCGUCUGACGGGGCAUGCGCCUGCGACAUUUCGAUUCACCCGGAACUUUCCCCGGACAGCCCUGCCGCCUGCGGGGAGAGGGCUAGUCCUCGGGUUAAACCCGAGGAGAGGGGCCAGCACAGCCGGCAAGAGGCGGCAAUACCUUCAAGGGCGGGUAAACCACCCUCGCCUUUCACCCUAAAACUUGUCCGCCACCUGUAUCCCCGCGGGGCCGAGGAUGACGGCGACGAGGACCGGCAGGAAGAACAGGAUCAUCGGUACCGUCAGCUUCGGCGGCAGUGCGGCCGCCUUUUUCUCUGCGGCGGUCAUCCGCUGGUCGCGGCUUUCCUGCGCCAGCACGCGCAGCGCCUGGGCGACGGGCGUGCCGUAGCGGUCGGCCUGGAUCAGCGCCUGCGUCACCGAUUUCACCUCGUCGAGGCCGGUGCGCAGGCCGAGAUUUUCGAGCGCGAUGCGCCUUUCGGGCAGGAAGGAGAGUUCCGCGGUCGUCAGCACCAGUUCCUCCGCCAGCGGCGGCGACUGCACGGCUAUCUCGUCGGCGACGCGGCGCAUGGCGAGCUCCAUCGAGACGCCCGAUUCGACGCAGAUGAGCAGGAGAUCGAGCGCAUCCGGCCAGGCGCGGCGAAUGGACUGCUGGCGCUUGGAGAUCGCAUUGGCGAUGAAGAUGUUCGGCGCGUAGAAGCCGACAUAGGCAAAUCCGAUGGCGAAGGACACCCUGACCAUGAUCGGCUUGUCGGCGAAAUUCCCGAGCACGAAAAUAUAGAGAACCGCAACGGUCAGAAACAGGAACGGCAGACAGAAGCGGGCGAAGAGGAAGGUGUUGAGCGCGUUUUGCGAGCGGUAGCCGGCCGUCUUCAGGCGGUUGACGGUGUUGUCGUCCACCAGAGCCUUUCUGAGGUUCAGCCGCUCGACGAUCUCCCGGACGGAGGUGUUGUGCUGUGCCCUGAGGCUCGCCCUGCCGGUCGUCGCCUCGGCAUUGAGCCGGGCGCGCUCGCGGGCGCGAAUCUGCUCCCGUUCGGUGGCGACCGAUUUCAUCCGCUUCGCGAGAUCUCCCCGCUCGAGCAAGGGCGCCACGAGCGAAUAGAACGUGGCGAGCACGGCCAUCGAGACGAGCGCCGCGACGAGGAUGUUCGGAUCGGUAAGCGUCUCUAUCCAGCCGGCCACGGGAUCCUCAGAUGUCGAAGUUGAUCAUGUUGCGCAUCACCCAGAUGCCGAUGCUCAUCCAGACGGCGGAAGCGCCCAUGAUGAUGUGGCCGCGCGGGUCGGUGAAGAGAACCAUCAUGUAAUCGGGCGAAGUCAGAUAGACGAGGGUUGCGACGAUGAACGGCAGCGCGCCGAUGAUACAGGCGGACGCCUUGGCCUCCAUCGACAGCGCGCUGACCUUCGCCUUCAUCUUCCUGCGUUCGCGCAGCACCUUGGAGAGAUUGCCGAGCGCUUCGGACAGAUUGCCGCCCGCCUGCGCCUGAAUGGCGAUGACGAUCGCGAAGAAGUUCACUUCCGGCAGCGGGAUGCUGUGAAUCAUGCGGGCGCAGGCUUCGGGAACGUUGAGGCCCACCUGCUGGGACUCGACGACACGGCGGAAUUCCGUCCUGACCGGCUCCUGCCCGUCGCUGGCGAUCAGCCGCAAGGCGUCGUUCAGCGGCAGCCCCGACUUGAUCGAACGGACCAUGACAUCGAGCGAAUUCGGAAACUCGUCGAGAAACUUUCUGCAACGGCGUUUGACCAUGGAGCCGACGAUCCAUCGCGGCAGGCCGGCCGCGCCUAUCAGGGCAACGCCCGCGGCAAUGAGCAGCCCCGCCCCUGCCAGGAGGACGACAAGGAAGGCGAACAGUCCGAAAAGCGCGCUGAACAGGUAGAACUGCGCGAGCGAUAUCGAAAGAC
rnacentral:sRNA from 1 species